GAUGAAGAACGUAGCGAAAUGCGAUACGUAAUGUGAAUUGCAGAAUUCAGUGAAUCAUCGAGUCUUUGAACGCACAUUGCGCCCCCUGGUAUUCCGGGGGGCAUGCCUGUCCGAGCGCCAUUGCUGCCCUCAAGCACGGCUUGUGUGUUGGGCCUCCGUCCUCCUCCCGGGGGACGGGCCCGAAAGGCAGCGGCGGCACCGCGUCCGGUCCUCGAGCGUAUGGGGCUUCGUCACCCGCUCUUGUAGGCCCGGCCGGCGCUUGCCGACACAUCAAUCUUUUUUCCAGGUUGACCUCGUAUCAGGUAGGGAUACCCGCUGAACUUAAGCAUAUCAAUAAGCGGAGGA
rnacentral:misc_RNA from 1 species